rnacentral:lncRNA from 1 species
AAAUCAAGUCCGCGGGGCAUGGAGGCUGCUGUCGCUGCAGCAGCUCAGCUUGCCCGGGGCGGGAACUCCCCCUUUCUCCUUUCGCCUCCCCAGCACCCACACCCUGUCUCCCCCUUAAUUCUUCCCUGGAUAAUAGCACCCUAACGACAACAGUCAUAAUAAUAGGGUUAGAACGACAGGGGAGGAAAACUCAACAGCCUAAAUAUCUCUGAAAACUGCAUCGCAAAAUGGAAGAAAGAGGGGGUCCCACUACUGUUUCAAAAGAGAGCCAUGGAAGUCAAAUGCUGAGGAUGGUGGCAUCAUAGGAUGAAUGGAGCUGGGUUCUUGAAACACUGCCUGGAGGAAAGACAGCAAAAAUGCCUCAUGAAUCCAACUGGACUGUUAGGAUGCUCACCCUUGGAGACCAGCAACAAUGUGUGCAGAAACCCAGGCCAUGUGGAGAGGCCCCACAUACGUGUCCAACUGAGGUCCCAGCUGACAGCUGGCAUUGACAUAAUGUUCACUCUGGGGGAAGCCAGCUGCCACGCUGUAAGGACACUCGGGCAGUCCUAUGAAGAGGCCCGUGUGGUGAGAAAGAGAGGCCUCCAGCCAACAGCCAUAGAUGGGGUCUUGCUAUGUUUCCCAGUUGGAGUGCAGUGAUUAUUCACAGACAUGAUCCCACUACUGAUCAGCAUGGGAGUUUUCACCUGCUCCAUUUCCCACCUGGGAGGUCAUCAUAUUGAUGGCGAGCUAAGUGUGGACACCUGAUCAGCAUAGCACAGUACAGCCCAGAACCCCUGGGCUCCAGUGAUCCUCUUACUUCAGCCUCUUGAGUAGCUGGAACUACAGGCCUGCACCACUGCACCCGGCUAGUUUGUUUUUGUUAGAGUUUUGUCUCUAGGAUUUUCCUCAGCUGAGUAUGUGAAGGCUAACUUCUCCUUGUGAAUCUGCAAAUAUCCUUAUUUUACCCUUUAUUUUACCAUGUAUCAUUUACAGGUAAAUGAUAUCUUAGCUGUGUAUUGAAUUUCUGUUUUUUGUUUUUUCUUCAGUACUCUAUAAAUAUUACUCCAGUAUCUUCUAGCUUCUCCCAUUUUCUCCUAGUGAAUGGUUAUUCUGCUCUUAUCUAGCAGGUGAUAAAUCUGUCAACAGAUAGUUUUUCCUUUUUGUUUUAUGUGUAAGUUGUUAUUUCUUCCUUAAAGUUCAUAAUCUUUUCCCAUUUAUUCUCUAAAUUUUAGACUAUAACCAGGAUGUGUUUAGGUUGAUAUCUUUGCUUAUCUAUUCUGCCUGGAAAUCAGGAACCUCUUCCAAUAUUCAGACUUGUGUUUUCAGCUCAGAAUAAUUAUUUUAUCAUUUGUUUGAUUAUUCCUUUAGUUGCACUGGAUCUUAGUUAAAAUGCCCAUUCUGAUUCAAAGUAUCUGGAAGGCAAGUAUUUGUCAACUAAGGGAAAGGUGACCAUGCAUCAUUGGUUUUGCUGAGACUACCUGGUUUACACCUUCAGGCUUUAUACUUAGAAAAUAUUGCGAUCAUCUUCUGGUCAUGAAGUUACAAACUUCAGGACAAAGGCUAACCAGCUAAGACUAGCAGAGCAAAUUCCAAGAACUUGGGGCUUUAAUUAACUUGAAUUGAUUUGGACUUGCCCUACCUUUAACUUCACACUGAGAUAAAAAUUCCCCACAUUUUCAAGCCAUUUUUGAGAUGAGUCUCUUAUGGUUGAAAGCAUCCUAAUUUAUACAACAUCCUUUUGGUACCUAACUAAAUAUUCACCAAUAUUUGGCACAUUUGUUAAAUCUUUUGGUGUGUGCCUCUUCUAUGUAAUGUAAAUAUGGUCUGAAUAUCCAUUCAGAAAUUAUAGUUGAUUUGCAAAAAUAACUACUAUAUCACCUAUAUUAAUUGAUAGUUAUUCCUUCCCAACCUUCUUUCACUCUUCCAUAUAUAUACAGAGUAAAUCUACAUCAUUAUGUUGAUUAAACAAAAUAGCAGUGAAAUCAGGAUGUUACUGCUCAUUGUGCAUUUAUUUCAAUUAUGGAAAAAGCCAACACUUUACUCCCUUAUUUAACACUUCUGUAGAAAAGCAGUUGAAAUAACCUAGUGUCAUUCUAAAAUGAUUUGUAUACUAUGUAGACCAGAAUCUAGGGCUAUACCUAAAAAUACAUAAAUGAAAUUAUUCUAGAAGUUAAAUCUUCAUGAAAAAACAAAUUAAAUGGUUUACUAACCUCAAGCUGAUUAAAUGUUUUUAUUAAAUGCAGCCUCAGCCAGCACCUCUUUUCAUGGCUGCAAUAAUUAAGUAUAAUAAAUAUUCAAAUCAGUAAUUGAAUUUGUUAAAAAAAACAUGCUCAGCUCAGUGAAGACUUUCUAAUAAAUAGAAUUCAGGUACCAUAUUUUCAUACUUCAUGACACUUGCCUCAUCUUAGUUUGAUGACUGCCGUUUCUUGCACUGUAACAAGAUUUUAUUUUUAUUUUGUUUUACGCUAUUCAAACAAAUACAUUCAAAGUCAUAGGCUACACCUAUGUAUAACCAUAUUCUGAGAGUUGGCUUAUGUGUUUGUUUAUUUUCUCACAAUUAAAGAUAGGUCAGAUGUUGCCAAAUUAGUAAAUAACUAAACUUGAGAUGGGAAAUACUCUAGAGACACAAUCUGCUUAGUUUUGCAUAGUUUUGCAUAGUUUUAGUCACUUUUCCCGUUACUCUGUCCAGCUUUCCAGUAAUACUCAUAACAUUGCCUUGAUUUCAUAUGACCACGCAGUAAAGUGAUUACUGCACUUAGAAUUUUGUUGCUUUUGCUGUGCUAACAACUUAAAAGUUUAAAAUAACUGAUGUUCAAAACAGUGAAGAUUUCCUUUUAUAAACAAGUUGGAAAGGAAAGUUUUUAUGUUAUUAUCCUCAAGUAUUCUAACUAAUAUAAAAUGUCUUUCAGUCUUUUAGGCAAACCAUUUAGACAAAAAGUACAAAUAAUAAAUUUACAUUGUGUUAAGCUGCG